CCCUAAAUUGACUUCAUCACAUAUCGAUGUAGCUGCUCUUCAAAUCGCAAUUCACAAUAAUCUAACUUAUCUUCCUUCCUUCCAGAUUCCUGCAGAAGAAUCAAAGUGCAUUUUUCCUGUUGACAUACCAUUAUGCAGACGGUUCUGGUGUGGAUGUCAUGAAUGAGGAAAACUGAGUCGGAACCUUUCUUGUUCAAUACUUUCAGUUUUCAUCUGCACAUUCUCAAAAUAGAGAAAGCACAGAUUGUAGGUCAUCAAGUUCGACCCUUUUCAGCGAGUUGAUAUAUAUCUAAUCAGUUCUUAGCUUGUUGAUGUUUCUAUCAAAUUGAUAAAUUUUACACUUCUUUUGCGAUUUUCGAAGAUUGAAGUUACAAGUCAAGAUUAAAGUUUAGAAGAUGCACAAGUUCACUAUUAUUUUGCUAGUGGCGACAUGUAAAACAUGAUAGCAUACUCUAGCUUGGGAUGUUAAUUGAUAAA